CAAAAUCUGUGGAAGUCCUGGCGACAUUUUAAAUGGAUGGGCCAACGUGUCAAGCAAUGUGUUUGGUGGCAAGGUGACCUUUCACUGUAAUACGGGGUACUUGAUGGUGGGCAGGGCGCUCCGUCUGUGUGAAGCGCAGGGUUGGUCAGGCCAAGUGCCAAACUGUAAUGCUGUGAAGUGUGUUGCACCUCCAGCGAUCGAGAGAGGGAGUGUGUCCGACCUGUUUGAAGGAGACUUUUGGGAAUACGGAAUGGUGGCCGCAUACUCCUGCCAUUCUCCCUACACCUUGAUCGGGGAAAAGGAGAUUGCCUGUUCAGCCUCCGGAAACUGG